rnacentral:tRNA from 1 species
AUCUUUGUAGUUGAACAACAACAGAAGUUCUUCACACUUCAAGUUUGAGUAAAAGACCCUCAACAAAGAUU